rnacentral:rRNA from 1 species
UACAGAGGGUGCGAGCGUUGUCCGGAAUCACUGGGCGUAAAGGGCGCGUAGGCGGUCUGGUAAGCGUGUGGUGAAAGCCCGGGCUCAACCCCGGGUCGGCCGUGCGAACUGCUGGACUGGAGCAGAUCAGAGGCAGGCGGAAUUCCGGGUGUAGCGGUGGAAUGCGUAGAGAUCCGGAAGAACACCGGUGGCGAAGGCGGCCUGCUGGGAUCUUGCUGACGCUGAGGCGCGACAGCGUGGGGAGCAAACAGG